rnacentral:rRNA from 1 species
UACGUAGGAGGCAAGCGUUUGUCCGGAAUCACUGGGCGUAAAGCGCGGGCAGGCGGCCCGCUCAGUCGGCCGUGAAAGCGCCCGGGCUCAACUCGGCGAGGUCGGGCGAUACUGGCGGGCUCGAGGCUGGUAGAGGGCGGUGGAAUUCCGGGUGUAGUGGUGGAAUGCGUAGAGCUCCGGAGGAACACCAGUGGGCGAAGGCGGCCGCC